GACGAACGCUGGCGGCGUGCCUAAUACAUGCAAGUAGAACGCACAGUUUAUACCGUAGCUUGCUACACCAUAGACUGUGAGUUGCGAACGGGUGAGUAACGCGUAGGUAACCUGCCUGGUAGCGGGGGAUAACUAUUGGAAACGAUAGCUAAUACCGCAUAAUAUUAAUUAUUGCAUGAUAAUUAAUUGAAAGGUGCAAUUGCACCACUACCAGAUGGACCUGCGUUGUAUUAGCUAGUAGGUGAGGUAACGGCUCACCUAGGCGACGAUACAUAGCCGACCUGAGAGGGUGAUCGGCCACACUGGGACUGAGAAACGGCCCAGACUCCUACGGGAGGCAGCAGUAGGGAAUCUUCGGCAAUGGACGAAAGUCUGAACGAGCAAAGCCGCGUGAGUGAAGAAGGGUUUCGGAUCGUAAAGAUCUGUUGUAAGAGAAGAACGGGUGUGAGAGUGGAAAGUUCACACUGUGACGGUAUCUUACCAGAAAGGGACGGCUAACUACGUG
rnacentral:rRNA from 1 species